rnacentral:rRNA from 1 species
GCAAGUCGAGCGCACUCUUCGGAGUGAGCGGCGGACGGGUUAGUAACGCGUGGGAAUAUACCCUUUUCUACGGAAUAGCCUUUGGAAACGAAGAGUAAUACCGUAUACGCCCUUCGGGGGAAAGAUUUAUCGGUAAAGGAUUAGCCCGCGUUAGAUUAGAUAGUUGGUGGGGUAAUGGCCUACCAAGUCUACGAUCAGUAGUUGGUCUUAGAGGAUGAUC